AAAUUGAAGAGUUUGAUCAUGGCUCAGAUUGAACGCUGGCGGCAGGCCUAACACAUGCAAGUCGAACGGUAGCACAGAGAGCUUGCUCUUGGGUGACGAGUGGCGGACGGGUGAGUAAUGUCUGGGAAACUGCCCGAUGGAGGGGGAUAACUACUGGAAACGGUAGCUAAUACCGCAUAAUGUCGCAAGACCAAAGUGGGGGACCUUCGGGCCUCACACCAUCGGAUGUGCCCAGAUGGGAUUAGCUAGUAGGUGGGGUAACGGCUCACCUAGGCGACGAUCCCUAGCUGGUCUGAGAGGAUGACCAGCCACACUGGAACUGAGACACGGUCCAGACUCCUACGGGAGGCAGCAGUGGGGAAUAUUGCACAAUGGGCGCAAGCCUGAUGCAGCCAUGCCGCGUGUAUGAAGAAGGCCUUCGGGUUGUAAAGUACUUUCAGCGGGGAGGAAGGUGUUG
rnacentral:rRNA from 2 species